UUCAACAUAGUUGUGGAUAUGUUGGCUGUUCUGUUAGGUAGGGCCAAGGAGGCAGGCCAAGUUGGAGGCUUGGUGCCUCAUUUAGUUGAUGGAGGUAUCUCCAUCCUGCAGUACGCUGAUGAUACUAUUAUCUUCAUGGAGCAUGACUUGGUAAAAGCGAGAAAUAUGAAGCUGUUGCUUUGUUUGUUUGAGCAAUUGAGUGGGCUCAAAAUUAACUUCCAUAAAAGCGAGUUAUUCUGCUUUGGUAGAGCCAAAGAGGAACAAGAAUCCUAUAAACAACUGUUUGGGUGUGGUUUGGGGGAGCUGCCAUUCACAUACCUAGGAAUUCCUAUACAU
rnacentral:rRNA from 1 species